GAGUUUGAUCCUGGCUCAGGAUGAACGCUGGCGGCGUGCUUAACACAUGCAAGUCGAGCGAAGCAUAAAAACAGAUUUCUUCGGAAUGAAAUUUUUAUGACUGAGCGGCGGACGGGUGAGUAACGCGUGGGUGACCUGCCUCAUACAGGGGGAUAACAGACAGAAAUGUCUGCUAAUACCGCAUAAGCGCACAGUGCUGCAUGGCACAGUGUGAAAAACUCCGGUGGUAUGAGAUGGACCCGCGUCUGAUUAGCUAGUUGGUAAGGUAACGGCUUACCAAGGCGACGAUCAGUAGCCGGCCUGAGAGGGUGAACGGCCACAUUGGGACUGAGACACGGCCCAAACUCCUACGGGAGGCAGCAGUGGGGAAUAUUGCACAAUGGGGGAAACCCUGAUGCAGCGACGCCGCGUGAAGGAAGAAGUAUUUCGGUAUGUAAACUCCUAUCAGCAGGGAAGAAAAUGACGGUACCUGACUAAGAAGCCCCGGCUAACUACGUGCCAGCAGCCGCGGUAAUACGUAGGGGGCAAGCGUUAUCCGGA
rnacentral:rRNA from 1 species